rnacentral:rRNA from 2 species
CACGUAGGCUGUAGUGUAAGUCAGGGGUGAAAUCCCACGGCUCAACCGUGGAACUGCCUUUGAUACUGCACAACUUGAAUCCGGGAGAGGGUGGCGGAAUUCCAGGUGUAGGAGUGAAAUCCGUAGAUAUCUGGAGGAACAUCAGUGGCGAAGGCGGCCACCUGGACCGGUAUUGACGCUGAGGUGCGAAAGCGUGGGGAGCAAACA